AACGCGAAGAACCUUACCGAGGCUUGACAUCCCUUGACACCCGUAGAAAUACGGUCUCCGUAGAAAUACGGCAAGGAGACAGGUGCUGCAUGGCUGUCGUCAGCUCGUGCCGUGAGGUGUUGGGUUAAGUCCCGCAACGAGCGCAACCCUCGUCGUGUGUUGGUCCGCAAGGAUCUCUCACGCGAGACCGCCGAUGAGAAGUCGGAGGAAGGUGGGGAUGACGUCAAGUCAGCAUGGCCCUUACGUCUCGGGCUACACACGUGCUACAAUGGGUGCGACAACGAGUUCCAAGCUCGCGAGGGUUAGGCAAUCUCUUAAACGCAUCCUCAGUUCGGAUUGAAGGCUGCAACUCGCCUUCAUGAAGUCGGAAUCGCUAGUAAACGCAGAUCAGCUACGCUGCGUUGAAUACGUUCCCGGGCCUUGUACACACCGAGACGAC
rnacentral:rRNA from 1 species